CUUUCAUGUUAAGUGAGAUUAAAUCAUUUUCCAUAAUUAGGAACUUGAAUCAUUGCCUAAUUUAUAGUUUGAUAAUGGAACUUCUCUGCUGUCACUCUAAGUCAGAGGGUAAGUUUUUUUAAACAACAACAAAAAAAUGGUUUGGUUCUUCUUUCUUAACUUUUAACUUCUAACUGAACUUUUAAGUAGUCCAGAAAAUCUUUUAAUUUCUUUUUAGGUAGUAGGCGCUUUUCUUUUCUAAUAUACUUUAUUCUAUAAUAUUGUAUGGAGAAUAAAUUGUGUGGACUUUCAUUAAGUGCAAUGUCAUAUUUUGCUUGAUUUGGUGCUUUUUAAACAGGAUGGUGCUUUCUUCUUAAAUCAUGCAGAAACUGGAUAGUUCAGAUAUGAUACAUUUUAUUUAAAAUACUGUAACCAGGGGCCAGCCCCGAUGGCCUCGUGGUUAAGUUCAGUGCACUCUGCUUCGGGGGCCUGGGUUUGGUUCCCGGGCACAGAGGCCACACCACUGUUAGUGGCCACACUGUGCUGGCUGCUCACAUACUAAAAAAUAGAGGAAGAUUGGCACAGAUGUUCGUUCAGGGAAAAUCUUCCUCACCAACAAAAAAAAUAAUGCUGUAUCCAGAACCUGACAUACUACAACAUAGAAUGGGGUCAAGGUAAUAAGAUGUCUUGAUCCGUUUAUGUAUGUGCAUGAAAUUUCAGUGACCUCAUGAAUUCCUUUGAAUUUAUUUGAAUAAACUAAUUUUGAGCUGUUUGGUUCUUUCAAGCGAUCAUAACUCAUUCUCAGUUUUUCAAUCCAGAUUUGUAUAGUAGCUGACACGUAGUAGGCCCUUACAUAUGUCCUAAAAUGAAUCUGUAAGAUGGGGACACUGACCACAUGCUGCUAUUCUGCAUCUCUUGUCAUUUCAUGGUUUCAUACAUCCUAUUUUGGAUUUGUAUGCAUUCUGCUGUUUCUAAAAUUGGUAGCUAAGCAAUGCAUUUUUUAACAUUAAUUAUCAAGUUUUGUCUUACUCUUAAAUUUCCUGUGUUUAUGUGAGGCAGCACAGUGGGCAUCUUUCUAUCUUGCUGAAACCCACUUUCCUGGGCUGAAAAUAUAUUGACCUUGGCUAUAACCUUGACAUUUAGGAGAGUUGACUAGACUCUGAAAACAUAGAGCCCAGUGUGAUUGUAAAUGCCUGUUCCUAUGACAUCCUCAGUUACGUAAUAAAAAUAAUCCAGAAAAUUGUCAAGAUAUGUGAACAUUUUAUACGGGGAUUGGCCUUAUACAGCACAGACUUACGAGAAAGAGUUCAUUUUCCUAAGAAUCCUUCAACAAACUGAAGGUUGGGCUCCCAGUCCUGAGGCUCUGACUCUCUGGAUAUUAUAACCACAACAUCUGGAAGAACGUCUGUUUCUUCCUUUGAAAAAAAUAUGUUUAAACUCUUUUUUUGGAGGGAUGUUAUAAAAUGUGUCCAUCGCAUGACUCAUUUUGGAGUAUAAGAGGUGAUAUGAAUUAAAUUAUCAUUGAAAUUUUUACCCUGUCUGCUUUGCUCAUUUAGACUAUAUGACCUUACAAAGAGUCAGGCAGAGCGAACAUGACAGAAAAGAUCACUUGAAACUUAUUUCAUCUGGAUUGAAAAGGAUAUAUUUUAUAGCUGAGGAUUCCGCACAGAAAAUAGCUUUCUAAAGUUACUCUCAAGUAUAGCAUCAUUGUAUUGGGAAGGAAAUCAGUAUUUUUCAAGUGCCUCGUAAAGGUCAAGCAUUCUACCAGGUACUUACAUUUGGGCAUAACUCAUUGGGAGACAGCAAAAUGGUUGUGUGUACUGUGGGGUCCUCGCCUUGUCACCGACUAGCUAAGUGACUACUGAGUGACCUUGGGCAAGUUAUUGACCUCCUCUUCCUCAUCGUCACUUUUCACAUCAAUCCUGUGAGAUGGGUGGAGGGAUUCCCAUUCUACAGAUAAGGAAACUGAGGCCACUUAGGUAAUUUGUUCAGGGCCACACAACCAGCAAAUUGCAGUACUUGGAUCUGGAGCCAGACAUUGCUCAAGAUCCCACCCUCUCUCUCCCAUUCUCUGUGGUCCCCCAGUUGAUGUCAUGUUGCAUGAGCUUAGAUUAGGGGCACUAGUAAUAUAGAAAAAGCUCUGAAAAGGAAAUUGGGAGAAGUGAGUUUUAGCUGGCCCUUCCCCUAGCUAACUGCGUGUCCUUGAGCAAGUCAUCUGUCUCAGCUCCCUUAUCUCUUAAGUAGAGGGCUUAGGGCUCGUACAACCCUUUCAGAUUUUGCCCCUUUAUCAUCAUAAAGUGUUUCUCUUUGUGUCUAGUAAUACUCCUUGUGUUGAAGUCUAUUUGUCUUAUAUUAAUUUAGCCAGUUUAGCUGUUUGUAUGCAUGGUAUAACUUUUCCCUUUCUUCCAACUAAUGUUUCUAUUUAAAAUGUUUCUCUUUCUGGAGAACAUAUGUUUGAUUCUUGCUUUAUUAUUGUUAUUGCUGUUAUUUUAUUCGUAUUGACAACCUUUGCCACUUGAAUGAGUGUUUAGUCCAUUUACAUUUAAAGUAGUUGUUGAUAUGUUUAUAUUCUGGAGUUAAAGUUUUAAGAGGUAUAUUAAAUUUUCAUUUUGGUUUUCUAUAUCUUCUCAGUUUUCUUUCUGACUUAACUUUAUGAAAAAAUAAUCUUGUAUGGGUUGGAGACUUAUUAGUGUAACUGGUUUGUUGAAUGGGCCACAUUUAGUAAGACACAAAAAGAAAAUAGCUUUAUUCUUUUCCCACCUCUACUUUGGAUGAUAUUUUCAGCAGAUCCCAUAGCUUUUGAAUCAUUUAAAAAUAUUGGAACAACUAAUUUUCAAAUAUGAGAAAAAUGGGGUACAAUGUGCACUGUAACUUCUGUCCUCCCAUCCAGUUUAUAGCGUCUCCCCUUUUCUGUCCUCAGGCCUGACACCUGGCUUGGUGAUCAUCAGUCAGAAAGAAAGGUCAUUUUUAGUUCAGCCGUCCUCUCUGCACUUCCUUCUACCCACUGUUUCUGGCUCCUCCAGAGUCCACAGGGAGGCAGAAGAGGGAUGAAGGCUGUUGUACUUGCUGGUGCUGGUUUGUUUUCGUGGCCUGCUGUUUCUCAUAUACACGCUUAUGGGUUCUUUGGAGGAUUACUUAAGCCUCGUUAACUUGGUCCACAGGAAAACUCACAUGUAAGCACCAUCAACUCUGAAGUGUAGCCUGUUCCCACUUGUCCUGAGGUUCUCUUUCCUUGCUCUACUGUUACAGGCAGCAUCAGCCAGGCCUGAGGCUCCAACCUCACACAUGCCCCACAGAACAGGCUGUAAGUUUCUGCACAGAGGCAAGCAUCUAGCCAGGGAAUAUUAGCCUCCCUCACUGCAUAUAGCCCCAAGGUAUGAGGGUUUGUUUGGGC
ensembl:lncRNA